UACAGAGGUCUCAAGCGUUGUUCGGAUUCAUUGGGCGUAAAGGGUGCGUAGGCGGCGCGGUAAGUCGGGUGUGAAAUCUCGGAGCUUAACUCCGAAACUGCAUUCGAUACUGCCUUGCUCGAGUACUGGAGAGGAGACUGGAAUUUACGGUGUAGCAGUGAAAUGCGUAGAUAUCGUAAGGAAGACCAGUGGCGAAGGCGAGUCUCUGGACAGUUACUGACGCUGAGGCACGAAGGCCAGGGGAGCAAACGGG
rnacentral:rRNA from 1 species